rnacentral:rRNA from 1 species
GACGAACGCUGGCGGCGUGCUUAACACAUGCAAGUCGAACGGAAAGGCCCUGCUUGGAGGGUGCUCGAGUGGGGAAAGGGGGGGUAACACGUGGGGGAUCUGCCCUGCACUUCGGGAUAAGCCCGGGAAACUGGGGCUAAUACCGGGUAGGAGCCCUUUUUAGUGUGGUGGGUGGAAAGUUUUUUUGGGUUAGGGUGAGCUCGCGGCCUUUCCGCUUGUUGGGGGGGUAAUGGCCUACCAAGGCGGCGACGGGUAGCCGGCCUGAGAGGGUGGACGGCCACAUUGGGACUGAGAUACGGCCCAGACUCCUACGGGAGGCAGCAGUGGGGAAUAUUGCACAAUGGGCGCAAGCCUGAUGCAGCGACGCCGCGUGGGGGAUGACGGCCUUCGGGUUGUAAACUCCUUUCGCUAGGGACGAAGCUUUUUGUGACGGUACCUAGAUAAGAAGCACCGGCUAACUACGUG